rnacentral:rRNA from 1 species
GAUCAUGGCUCAGGACGAACGCUGGCGGCGUGCUUAACACAUGCAAGUCGAGCGGAAAGGCCCUUUCGGGGGUACUCGAGCGGCGAACGGGUGAGUAACACGUGAGUAAUCUGCCCUUGGCUUUGGGAUAACUACCGGAAACGGUGGCUAAUACCGAAUACGACCACUCCUUGCAUGAGGUGGUGGUGGAAAGUUUUUCGGCCAGGGAUGUGCUCGCGGCCUAUCAGCUUGUUGGUGGGGUAAUGGCCUACCAAGGCUUCGACGGUAGCCGGCCUGAGAGGGUGACCGGCCACACUGGGACUGAGACACGGCCCAGACUCCUACGGGAGGCAGCAGUGGGGAAUAUUGGACAAUGGGCGGAAGCCUGAUCCAGCAACGCCGCGUGAGGGAUGACGGCCUUCGGGUUGUAAACCUCUUUCAGUACCGACGAAGCGCCGAUGAUGGUGGUGACGGUAGGUACAGAAGAAGCACCGGCCAACUACGUG